rnacentral:tRNA from 1 species
AGCGAGUUAUUCAAGCGGUUAAAGAAGCGAGGUUCAUAUUCUCGUGCCUUAGUGGCUUCAUCGGUUCGAAUCCGAUACUCGCAA